rnacentral:rRNA from 1 species
GAUGAACGCUAGCGGCAGGCCUAACACAUGCAAGUCGAACGGUAACAUUGAUUGCUUGCAAUCAGAUGACGAGUGGCGCACGGGUGCGGAACGCGUAUGGAACCUGCCUCUGUCAGGGGAAUAGCCCAUGGAAACGUGGAUUAAUGCCCCAUGGUAUCCUAGUACUGCAUGGUAUUAGGAUUAAAGAUUUAUCGGACAGAGAUGGCCAUGCGUAUCAUUAGCUAGUUGGUAAGGUAACGGCUUACCAAGGCAACGAUGAUUAGGGGCCCUGAGAGGGGGAUCCCCCACACUGGUACUGAGACACGGACCAGACUCCUACGGGAGGCAGCAGUGAGGAAUAUUGGACAAUGGUGGGAACACUGAUCCAGCCAUGCCGCGUGCAGGAUGACUGCCCUAUGGGUUGUAAACUGCUUUUAUACGGGAAGAAACCCAGGUACGUGUACCUGGCUGACGGUACCGUAAGAAUAAGGACCGGCUAACUCCGUGCCAGCCGCCGCCGUAACAC